UACGUAGGGUGCGAGCGUUAAUCGGAAUUACUGGGCGUAAAGGGUGCGCAGGCGGUUAUAUAAGACAGAUGUGAAAUCCCCCGGGCUCAACCUGGGGAACUGCGUUUGUGACUGUAUGACUAGAGUACGGUAGAGAGGGGUGGAAUUCCUGGUGUAGCAGUGAAAUGCGCAGAUAUCAGGAAGAACACCCGUGGCGAAGGCGGUUCUCUGGGACGGUACUGACGCUGAGACGCGAAAGCGUGGGGAGCGAACAGG
rnacentral:rRNA from 1 species